UACAGAGGGGGCAAGCGUUGUUCGGAAUUACUGGGCGUAAAGGGCGCGUAGGCGGCCUUCUAAGUCGAACGUGAAAUCCCCGGGCUCAACCCGGGAACUGCGUCCGAUACUGGAAGGCUUGAAUCCGGGAGAGGGAUGUGGAAUUCCAGGUGUAGCGGUGAAAUGCGUAGAUAUCUGGAGGAACACCGGUGGCGAAGGCGACAUCCUGGACCGGUAUUAACGCUGAGGCGCGAAAGCCAGGGGAGCAAACGGG
rnacentral:rRNA from 1 species